UUUGUUGUGUUUUUUCCCAAGUUCUCAGCAUAAAAGAAAAAUGUGAGGAAGUAUCCAGCAUCGGAAAAGAUUCUUCUGUUCCAGCUGUUCUAUUAUGACAGCUUGAGCCAUUGAACGUUCUGUCUCCUUUUGAGCUGCUCCUUUUCCUGUCUUGUUUCUCCAGCUUGACAGCUAAUUUGUUGGCUUCCUGCUCAGUUCUGCCUUCCUUCACUUUUCUUUCAUAGCCUGUUUUCUAGCUUUUCUAUUCUCCGUGCUCUCAUUUUUGGAACACGUCUGUAUGGAUACUUUUGGCAGGUCAAUGUUGUUAAUCACUUGCAUGCGUUCAGUCUACUUUGCUGUAAGACCUCUAAUAUGCAGUCAGAUUCCAGACUUGCUGGAAAUUAUGAUUGGUUUGGACAUUGGGAGGUUCUCAGUAAGUUUUGAGUGAUCAAACAAUUUAGAGCAUAUACUCCAAGCAGAUUUUCAGUCUUAUUUUCCUUUAGGUUUCCUAUUAACUAAAGCUGAGAUUUCCACCUCUUCCUUUAUUUCUCAUUGAGGAAGUGCAAGAAACAGAAUAAAAAAGUCCUCAGAGACUCCAUUAGUGAUUGGAGUUGGUUCAAUAGAGUUCCUUCUCAGGAGAAAAAAUUAUGAAGAAUACUAUAUGUAUAUAGAAAUAAGAGUCCCUGGUCACCUGACCUCCUGGCCAGCUGAACCAGUCACCUGCUGUUGCUUGACAACCCGGCUCAGAGUUGAUCAUGAUCAGGUCAUGGGACUUCACUAUUGAACCUUCUUUGAGAAAAUCUUUAGUCUGGAGAUGCUUUAGUCUGGAGAAGAAAUUCCCUCCCAGUCUUCUAACAGAAGCCUUCAACUCCCUGAAGUGGGGUUCCGAAGAGGAUGGAACUAGACUGUUCUCAGUGGUGGCAGAUGACAGAACAAGGAGCAGUGGUCUCAAGUUGCAGCAAGGGAAGUUUAGGUCAAUUAUUGGGAAAAGCUUUCUCAUAGGGAGGGUAGGAAAGCACUGGAUCAUGUACCCAGAGAUGUUGUGGAAUCUCCAUCCCUGAAGUUUUUAAGACCCAGCUAGACAAAGCUUGGCUGGUAUGAUCUAGUUGGGGAUGGUCCUGCUUUGAGCAGGGGGUUGAACUACAUGACCUCCUGAGGUCCCUUCCAACCCUAAUUUUCUAUGAUUAUAUGAAAAACAUCUACUUUUCAUUAAAACAUUGCUAGAGGUGGAGAAUCCAGUCCAACUCUUGGUAGCUUGUUCUAAAGGUUAAUUACUCUUAUUGCCUGAUUUUUUUUAGUUUCAUCUUCUAGCUACUGCAUGCUCUUAUACCAGUGUGCAGGACUGAACAGCCCAUAAUCUAAGCUUUGUUACACAUACAGGAGUUACACACCAUGAGCGAGUUUCCUCUUAACCUUCUCUUUGAUAAGCCAAAUAAACUGAGUACCUUGAGUCUUUCCCCAGAAGGUAUGUUUUCCACAACUUUGAUCAUUCUUAUGGUUCUUCUCUGAAUCCUCUCCAUUUUUUCCACAUUCUUUAACACUGAGGAACCAAACCAGCAAGCAUCGAGGAAGUGAACCAGCAAUUCCAACGCUGGUGCCAAUGAGAAGGCUUCGGAUUCCUUGACCAUGGCAUGCACUUCAGGGAGAGAGGACUCCUGACAGCAUCCACCUCAUGAGGAAAGGCUGGAGAAGGGCCCCAGUCCCCAGCAGCCAGGGAUGGCUAAAUCAAUAGGAAAGCUGAUUUCUGGAGAUACUGACAGGACUUUCAGGUGGAAGCCAGAGGAAAAGGUGGGUCUGACCCUGAAGCAAGCCUUAGUUUUGGGGACCUUAAGGAAACAUCCAUUGCUACCAUUCUAUAGUAGCCUCUGGUUCAACUAACAUUAUACACAGUACCUCAGAUGUUCCUAUUCAUCAUAAACUGGGAAUUGUACCUACAUCCUUGUUUGCUUCUGGCAGAGGCGAUGGUUUAUGGGAAUUGUCCAACUGCAAUCUUAUGGUUCAAGUAUUCCCUGGAAAAACUGUUAGCGUGUAGCACAAAAGAUGGAAAAUACUGAUUCUGAUGGAGUUCAAUACACCAUGGUACCUGCACUCCAUUUGCUUCCUGCUUAUGUACCUGUGUUAAGAUGGCACAAAAGGAACGCACUAGGAAGGUUGUUUUCUAGUUAACUUGUGCUCAAUCCUCCAACUGCAGCAGUAGCAAAGAAAAGCUGAGCAUGGUUGCCUGAUUCUGCUUCUCCUUUUGUCCGUGUGAAAACCUCUAUCAACUACAUACAAGCAGGAUCAGUCCACUUUUAUAAAUAUAGGGCCAGGUAUUAAUUUAGUGCUGAACAGUCUAGUUUCACUAUGAAAUAUGCUUCACUUGGAAGUGUUCAGAGGGAAGGCAUAAUAGGGGCACUUGCAGAACAUACUUCCUCAUACAGUUGCACCAAUCUAGGUUUUGUAGAAUGAGAUUUCUAUGCCUUUUCACUCUGGGCUCUUUGCUGAAUGUACUGAGAAAUCCUACAGUCUUUGUUUUUUUUUUUUUAAGAAGCCCUCUGCCACAUAACUUGUUUCUGUACUUAUAGACAUGGGUGGAUCUAAAAUUUUGAAAAAGGGGGUGCAGAUGGUAUGGUGCAACAUCACAUAUAACACGACACACUUUUCUCCAGGUAAAAAUAAAUUAGAAGCUUCACUAGUAUGCCAGGGGCCAUAUUCAGUUUAAGAUGAAAGCAAAAAUGAAUAUAACUUUACUGGAAUAUACACUAGUUUGCUAGAUUAUAUGUUAAAUCAAAAGAUUAUUAGUCCUGUAGUCAUUGUAUUUAAAUGUACAUCUCUUAUUCAGAUUUGUAAUAUCAAAACUAGCUUCCUUGAGCAUCUUGAUGGUGUAUCCCAUGCUUCACUAUCAAUCAUUUUCACACUUGAGUUGAUGUUCACCUGCAUUAAUAUUACCACACCUAAGUAUCACAACCCAAAGUUGUGAUUUUUUGUUUGUGUGUGCUUCGACACUGCUAAAUUAUUUUUCCCGCUAAAUUGCAGCUUCUUUGCACGGUGGAGUUUGCUGCUGCAGAAGAGAACCCUGGUGCAACGGAGAAUUUCCCGCCAAUUUGAAGCUUUCUUCGCAUGGUGCAUUUCUUUUACAUCUAAGAAAAUGCUCGGUGCAAGGAGUUCCAGCCAUUUGUAUGAGAAUUCGUGCCACAUUAUUGGCCGAUUCUAAUACAUGCACACGUGGCGGCUAGCGAUUGGCUUGUUAGCCGUAUAAAGGGCUUGGGUGGUUUCCGCCCAAGUUGGAGAGAGAGCAAUUGGAGUUCGAGAGGGAGAGCGUGAAGAUCUCUGAGCGCUGCAGAUUCUUACGGACCCAACGCUUUUCUUAAAAGGCAACAGAGGCCUGAUAACCGAACCCGCGGAGCUUCAACAACUCCAGGGAAAAGAACGAACAGCCUCUAGCCUCUCCCCAUUGCCGAUAAAUUCCUAGAUGUAUCCCUUCCUGUACGAGAAACUACCGAACCCGCGGAGCUUCAAUAACUCCGGGGCAAAGAACGAAUUGUCGUAGUCCUCUAAUGAGGAUUUAAGCGGAGCUGAACCUGGAAACUGUCCAGCCUACACCACAACCAUCUUUGGUGUAAGUAAACAAUCUUUAAAUCAA